rnacentral:rRNA from 1 species
AGUAACCUUUUAGGAACUAGCCGUCGAAGGUGGGACAAAUGAUUGGGGUGAAGUCGUAACAAGGUAGCCGUAUCGGAAGGUGCGGCUGGAUCACCUCCUUU